rnacentral:tRNA from 1 species
GUUGAAAUAGCUCAGUUGGGAGAGCAUUUGACUGAAGAUCCAAAUGUCAUGGUUCAAUCCCAAGUUUCGGCA